rnacentral:rRNA from 1 species
UACGUAGGGUGCGAGCGUUGUCCGGAAUUAUUGGGCGUAAAGGGCUCGUAGGCGGUUUGUCGCGUCGGGAGUGAAAUCCACUGGCUUAACUGGUGGCUUGCUUUCGAUACGGGCAGACUGGAGGUAUGCAGGGGAGAACGGAAUUCCUGGUGUAGCGGUGAAAUGCGCAGAUAUCAGGAGGAACACCGGUGGCGAAGGCGGCUCACUGGCUCAUUUCUGACGCUCAGGCGCGACAGCGUGGGGAUCAAACAGG